rnacentral:rRNA from 1 species
UACGGAGGGUGCAAGCGUUAUCCGGAUUCACUGGGUUUAAAGGGUGCGUAGGUGGGUUGGUAAGUCAGUGGUGAAAUCUCCGAGCUUAACUUGGAAACUGCCAUUGAUACUAUCAGUCUUGAAUACCGUGGAGGUCAGCGGAAUAUGUCAUGUAGCGGUGAAAUGCUUAGAUAUGACAUAGAACACCAAUUGCGAAGGCAGCUGGCUACACGAGUAUUGACAUUGAGGCACGAAAGCGUGGGGAUCAAACAGG